CCUGCCUCCAGGUUCCUGCCCUGUUUGACCUCCUUUGAUGAUGAACGGUGAUAUGGAAGUGAAGAUUUCUGGUAACCAUACAUAGUCCUCCCCGUGCUGCUAGGAGAUAUGAUCUACCACGUCAGGGUUUCUGCCUGCAGCGGGCAGACCGUACAUGGUGUUCCAGUCUCACAAUUACUAAGUUCACAGUAAGAGAGGAUGACACAGGACAAGAGCGGGAACAACCUUAAGGUUCCUCUCACGGAUCAACGCCAGACAUCUAAUGAACUACGGAAACACGUAGAAGAAACGGCUGGAAAUGUCUUUGCAAAAUAGCAUUGCAAACUAGGAAUCUAUUUCAGCCCAUUUCUUGCCCCUGUAUUCUUUUUUAAAUAUAUUUUUAUUUUUCCAUUCAAAAAUUUCCACUUCCUCCCCUCCUCCCAUUCCCCUCCCGCUUCCCCACUCCCCCUCCUUCCUCCUCCUCCCUCCUUAAGAGAGGGCAGGGUAGCCUGCCCUGUGGGAAGUCCAAGGCCCUCCCCCCUCCAUCCAGGGCUAGGGAGGUAUGCAUCCAAAUAGACUAAGGUCCACAAAAGCCAGUACAUGCAGUAGAAACAAGUCCCAGUGCCUUUACCAAUGGCUUCUCAGUCAGCCCCCAUUGUCAGUCACAUUCAGAGAGAGAGAGAGAGAGAGAGACCCACAUCAGAGCACUGGACUGGGCUCCCAAGGUCCAGUUGAAGAGCAGAAGGAGGGAGAAGAUGAGCAAGGAAGUCAGGACCACGAGGGGUUGGUUCACCCACUGAGACAGUGUGACUGAUCUAAUGGGAGCUCACCAAAGCCAGCUGGACUGGGACUGAACGAGCAUGGGAUCAAACCAGUCCCUGUAUUCUUUAGCUUGGAGAUUGCUGGCAUUUCUGGAAAACACAUAAUGAAAGCCACAGACCCCACCCUUGACAGGCUACAUUCUAGACAAACCAAGCUGUCAUUGUGGGGAGGAAGAGUCAAGAGCUCAUCGGAUGGGAUGACUGAGGUGAUGGCUCAGUGUGGAGGAGUGUGGGAAAGAAGGGAUGCUCCAGUGGAUCAAGGCGAGUAGAAGAAGAAAGGCUCCCACAAGGGAAAAGAAGGACUUUUAAUAGGAGUGAGAAACCGAGGAGCCCUCAGGAGCAAGAAGCACUUUGUUCUUCGAUGGUGAUCUCUUCAACUAAGAGCUAUCAUUUUGUUUAAUGAUUUCCAACCCGAAUAAGCAGUACAACAAGUGAGCCUCGAAAUCAGUUAGCCAACCAAAAGGCAAACAUUUUGUAACCAGGAGAUAGGGGAGCUUUAUAGCCUCUAAACAGGGUAAUCUUCGAGCACCCCCUGCCAUCUUCCCUGCCGGCAGCACAAACAGCUGUGAUUACCGGUUACCUGCAUAAGACCUGCACAACUUUGGACCUAUCAAGUUUCUGUCCUGGAAGGCGCAGUGGAGGGGAGAUGAUCCUGAGGCCACACCCAUCCCUGUGGAACAACUGUCAAAGCUAUUUUGACCUGCUCCAUUUCUGACCUGGGCUGGUUUACAACCUCUUUAGAAAAGCUGGCGGUCUCCCACUCCUGAGAGGUCACUAUAGGGACACUUGAUCAACGGAAUGCGCUGCAGCCUAGAACUUCUGGACUCAACUGAUCCU